CUACAGUAUACUCACUUAAUUUUUCCUAUAUUAUCUAGAUCCUCAUAUCAGCUCAGUUUUAUGUUAAUUUGUUGACAAAGAAAUUUCUUUUGCUCCUUCACAACAAUGAUUCUAGGCUUAGCCUACACUUCAUCUUAGUCAGGGAAAAGAGAGUGCACACAUCUCGUGCCCGUGUUCUUCCCCGAUGCCAACCUCCAAACCUGCGGUAGAUACCUCCUGAAGCUAGGCCAAGCCUUUAAGCACAAAGGCGAUCCUGUUCUUUAUAUCUUGGUUCUUCCUAUGGAUGGAUGUCAACACAUAACUAUGGAUGCAUGUUUGCACACAUAAGCAUGCUAGGAUCGUUAUGAUUGUCUGGGGGAAAACACUUAGAUUGAUGCAUUGUAAAUCUUGCAACCUUUUUACAGUUCAGUAUUUGAAAUGAGAUUAACAUUGCAAAUUGCUUGCAACCGUUUUACAAUUAGUAUUGGCAGUGAUAUGCACAUGCAUUAUUUUGAAAACUCAUUGCUAUUGGCAAAUCGUGCAUGUAUUUCUAGACAGAAUGGUUCAUUGUCCGCUUUGUUUGCUCAGAAAAUGACCCAGCUGCCUGUUUCAAGCCUCUCCGAACCUCAACCCACCAGGAGGACUGUGCUUCAGACCAUCACAAUGGUCGCCGUCCUCAAGCGUAGGUGGUUAUCUACGGAGAUUAGAAAUUUGUUUUCCUUGUGUUGGUUCUUGCGCUCACAUGGCUAUGAGCUGUCUUGCUUGAUUUACAAAGUAACAUCCUGUUCAGUUGCAUGGAGACAUAUCAUAGCCCUUGAAGCAAGUCAUAAUAACCUGGUUCUAGAUUCUCAAGCAGAUGAAACACCCGGAGCCAAGAUCAUUGGGGUGUCGAUAGGUGGUAGCGACAUGACUCCAAGAUUCAAGGUGACCAGAGCAAUGGAAAGGAUCUUCAGGAAGUAUGAAACGGGGCUCUUCGAUUGGAUGUAAGUGCUUGCACGAUGUCGCCCUCCAUCCCAUCAUCCUACCCGAGAUAGCGAGGAAGAGCGGGAGUGUUGGAGUUGAUAUAAGAGAGGUCAAGGCAUCUAUAGCAGUAGGAUCCUAUAAUGGCUCGAGGAUCCUUCAGUCACCAAAGGGAUGUGAACCUUCUGCGCUUCCACGACGCGGUUUUUUUUAUUUCUUUUCAGUUUGUGUUCUAUCGAAUGGUACUGCAUACCUUGCUAGAAACUUUUCAUUUCUAAAUUUAUGUACUAAUUAAUGUUUACAUCAAAUACUAAUCGAAAAUUCCCUAUUCUUUCUUUUGAACUUUGUGCAGACAACGAUCAGAUUAUCGCAUUUUACGCUGACUUUCUUUUCAACAUCAGAGUUACCGUGCAAUUCUGUUCUAAGAUAUAUCCAGUAUAUGAGACUUACUUGCACGAUGGUUUUAGUACAUCAUAAAUGUUAGAAUCCUUAACACAAAAGCAAGCAUCAAUUUGUACACAAUCUACAAUUCCCAUUCACGAAUGUUGCAUAGGUAAUUUAUUUUCCUCAUGAAUUCAGGAAUGUUGUAUAUAUACUUUUUAUUCCAGGAAUGUUGCAUAGUUAUUUUCUAGAAUCGAUUCCUUGUUCCACACCACUCUUAAUUUUAUGUCUAAGACUGCAUGAUUCAUUCUUCCAGUCUUUCUAUCAAUUUCUCUUCUUUCUUUAUGUCUAACCAUGUUAGUGGAGAUGAAGCUAUGAUGUGAACAUGGAGGCCAAUCAGAUGGUUGUGGUGGCAGAUCACAAGGGCGACGAGUUCAUCAGCCUUGAGGCCCCUUGAGGAGGAGUGUCAUAAAAUCUGGAGGAGCUUGACGAGAAACAAGGUAAGGGCAAUCAGACACAUAGGGCCUGGACAAAUUAGCUUAUCAUAGAGGCACAACCCAAUCACAGGUAGCUCACUACUUGCAUUAUUGUGUAAAUAAUUUGUAAUAACGAGAAAAAAUUGAAUACUGCUAUGUUGCCACUGUAGUUUUACCUUAUGGAAUAAAAAAUUCCACCAUUGUUAGAAAACAAAAGUAGAAGAUCCGAACCUUCUAUUUGGUAAAGACUAUUUUAACGCUGAGAUAUAACAUGUUUUCACCAAGGAGGGCAGUUCAAGCAAUGCAAAGC